CCCUCUCUUCUGUUUGCACCAGUUUGCGCUUUCAACCGCUAGAAGCGCUUAAAGCGCAUCAGCGCCGGCGCGUCACGGCGCAAUCAACCAAUGAACUCUCAUUUUGAAAGUUGUUUACGCUUGGAAGUUGAUAGCGAUUGUUUACAUUUUUUCUACUCCCGUUUUGAACGAGGAAUGCGUUCUUACGUGCUAAAACAUCCAACUACCUCAUUUUACUUUUUAUGUGAUGAAGGUGUUAUCCGGCGUUUCAGAAUGUGUGAUAGUGUGCGAUCAGUCAUAUAGUUUUAUCUUACAUCAUUCUCCACGAUCUCCGGGCCCUUGUUGACAUGGUUACAGAGAGGUUAUCACCAAUUUACGAUCUUUUACUUACAACAUGUUUUAUGGAUCAAUCAGAAAAUGACGGGUCAGGAAAGGAACUGGCUGGUAGCUUAUGAUUGAAGCAUGGAUGCACAGCAGUUAAUUGCUCAGACCUAUCUACCCAAAAGAGCGUACCCAAGUCUUGGAAGCAAUGGCACUGUGGGCUAUUACAUCCCACAGAAUGCUAUUCUUACGUUCGCACGUCCUUUGGGACGGAGGAGGCUCAUAGCUAAGACUUUAAAGGCCUUGCUGAUAGUAAUUAUGCUGAUAACCAUUGGAAUCAAUGUCAUUUUUAUUUGGAUACAAGUCAUCGUCUUCAGGAAGAAACCUCAAACUCAGUUGAUAUUGACCUGA
rnacentral:lncRNA from 1 species